UACGAAGGGGGCUAGCGUUGUUCGGAAUUACUGGGCGUAAAGCGCGCGCAGGCGGUCUUCCAAGUCAGUGGUGAAAGCCUGGAGCUCAACUCCAGAACUGCCAUUGAAACUGUUAGACUUGAGUACGAGAGAGGUGAGUGGAAUUCCCAGUGUAGAGGUGAAAUUCGUAGAUAUUGGAAAGAACACCAGUGGCGAAGGCGGCUCACUGGCUCGUAACUGACGCUCAGGCGCGACAGCGUGGGGAUCAAACAGG
rnacentral:rRNA from 1 species